rnacentral:rRNA from 1 species
CGGGCUUGAACUGCAGAGGAAUGCGGUGGAGACACCAAAGCCCUUCGGGGCCUCUGUGGAGGUGCUGCAUGGUUGUCGUCAGCUCGUGCCGUGAGGUGUCGGCUUAAGUGCCAUAACGAGCGCAACCCCUCCCCGUAGUUGCCAUCGGGUAAUGCCGGGCACUCUGCGGGCACUGCCACCGCAAGGUGCGAGGAAGGUGGGGAUGACGUCAAAUCAGCACGGCCCUUACGUCCGGGGCUACACACGUGUUACAAUGGGGGGUACAGAGCGCAGGCCGCCGGCAACGUCGGUCGAAUCGCUAAAGCCCCUCCCAGUUCGGACUGGGGUCUGCAACCCGACCCCACGAAGCUGGAUUCGCUAGUAAUCGCGCAUCAGCCAUGGCGCGGUGAAUACGUUCCCGGGCC